AGUUAAACAGUACGUGAAAUUGUUGAAAGGGAAACGAUUGAAGUCAGUCGUGCUGGCGCGAAAUCAACCCUCUCGUCGAGAGGACACAUGGCGUGGCGAGCCUCAAAACCGUCACGAAGCGUGAACUCUUGGCGAAAAGGAGCACUUUCGUGUCCGCUGGUUAACAUCAAUUUCGAACGUCAUAAAAAGGCUGGAGGGAUGUGGCUCCUUCGGGAGUGUUAUAACCUUUAGCGGAAUGUGGUGGUCGGGAUUGAGGAUUGCAACGAAUACCUUUAGGGCUGUUCCACCUGGCCUCUCUUUGGUAUCCUGGUGACGACAGCUUGCUGACGUUGUUAGGACUCGCCAUUGAACAGGCUAGAGUGUGAGCAAAUUCGUUAAGGAUGUUAACGUAAUGGCUUUAAA
rnacentral:misc_RNA from 1 species